UAGGGAAUCUUCGGCAAUGGGGGCAACCCUGACCGAGCAACGCCGCGUGAGUGAAGAAGGUUUUCGGAUCGUAAAGCUCUGUUGUAAGAGAAGAACGUGUGUGAGAGUGGAAAGUUCACACAGUGACGGUAACUUACCAGAAAGGGACGGCUAACUACGU
rnacentral:rRNA from 1 species